rnacentral:lncRNA from 1 species
AGAGCAUUGGUAGGGUCGUCGGUUAUGGAAGACGCUUUAAAAGAUAGAAGCGCACGAUAUUCUGAGAUGCGCGCAGCAUGGAGUGUGUGAGAAUAGAAGAGGAAAAAGAAGAAGAAGAAGAGAGAACAGAGGAAGAGUCGCAUUUUGUGUGGGAAUGGAAAUGGAGAAAUGGAGAAAUGGAAAGGAAAAGGAAAAUGAAAAUGAAAAUGUGGAGGGAAGUGAGUUAAAGAGUGAGUGAGUGAGUGAGUGUAGGUGUUGUAUUGUGUGUUUGUUUGUGUGAUUGCUACUGAUCACUGAUUACUGACCCCUGACCAGUGUGUGAGUGGAUGAGGACUGAGCCAGUCUUCAGCCAUGCCCUCCAGAUAGAGCUGUCAAUUAGGCCCUCUAAUAGGCCCUCUAAUAGGCCCUGGCCCUAGCCCAUGUGGGUUGGGGCCAAAAAAGCCUCUAGGGUCAAAAAAGACCUUUAUUAAAAAAGCUCUCAGGGCUAAAAAGCCCCAAAGCCCUGUGGGUUAGGGCCAGUCCAUGGGCUUUCUUUUUUACAAAAAAAAAUUAAAUAUCCAAAAAUAA